rnacentral:lncRNA from 1 species
AUCAUCUUCCCUGCAGUAAAACAGUGCUACAAGCAAGCAGUGCCCUCAGAGCAGAAGGCAACAGUGCAGCAAUGUUAAGGCUCAGAGCUUUGAUACCACUCACCCCCUUGCCCCCAGCUCCUGAUUUUCAAAUGCUCAGAAGACAACAGCUUCUCACGAAAGCCAACAUCAGCAUUGCACAGAUGCUAUGAAGCAAGAGCGAUGGCCAAGAUCUGCAGAAGUGAUGAGUGAUUCUGGGAGUUUGGGCUGAAAGCAAAGAUCCCGACAACCAAGCAAUCCUUUAACCUCCAAACAGGAGGCAGAGGGAUGCACGGAGCCUUCUGCUGAUGCACUCAGGGCAGUCAUCAUGCACAGGCAGGACAGGCUCUGCCCAACCAGGCACUACUUUCCUUCCUGGAGAUGCAUAAAAAUCCCACAGAGAGCAGCAGAGCCACGACAAGGAGUUGAGAAGAUGGACUUAGAAUGGGGAGCUUUUUUCCUUUUUUCCUUUUCUUCUUCUUCUUCUUUUUUUUUUUUUUUUUAAAGCUUCACGUGGAAGAGAAAGAGGCUAAUUAAAUUCUUUUGCUGAACGUAUUUAGCGAGUCUUUCAGAGAACCGAUUGCUUUUGGCUGCUGUCCAGCAGCGGGGAGAUGGGAUUGUGCUGGGUGAGGAGUGGGAGCAGAGCCCGGAUGCAGGAGGAAGCACAGUGACUGGCUGACAGGCUCUGGCCUGUCUCAGAUGUGCAGGAGAAGUGAUAAAUGUGGCCAAGGUGUUCUGAAUUCCUAGAGCAUGGGGAAUCCACUCUAAAGUGGAUCCUUGCUCUGCCACAUCCUCCAGUGCGGUGCACACACCACGCCGUCUCCACUGAUACCUUCAUUAGUGUUUAUGCAGCACCAACCAUUCCCUGCAUCCAAAAAUAAAGAAAACUGCUUGUUGCAUCAGCAGCCACGAGGAACCUCUCAGAGCUGCACCGAUGUUGAAACACACACAGGUUUCCAGCCUCAUUCAUGUCCAGCAAGCAUCAAACGCCUCUGAGCACGGGUGCUCAUCUGAGCUGAGCUUCAGGCUCCUAGCCGGCUCUGCCUGUCCCAGUGCCACAGGUCCAGACUAUGGGAAUGAGCUCACAGAGCAAAACCAGGCAGCUGGAGUCAGCUACUCCCUAGAAUCAUCCAUUACCCCAUGACAGGAGGGGAAGUCGGGGACACGCUGCUCAGG